rnacentral:rRNA from 1 species
GACGAACGCUGGCGGCGUGCCUAAUACAUGCAAGUCGAACGCUGAAGGCGGAGCUUGCUUCUCUGGAUGAGUUGCGAACGGGUGAGUAACGCGUAGGUAACCUGCCUGGUAGCGGGGGAUAACUAUUGGAAACGAUAGCUAAUACCGCAUAAGAGUAGAUGUUGCAUGACAUUUGCUUAAAAGGUGCAAUUGCAUCACUACCAGAUGGACCUGCGGUGUAUUAGCUAGUUGGUGGGGUAGCGGCUUACCAAGGCGACGAUACAUAGCCGACCUGAGAGGGGGAGCGACCAGACCGGAGCUGAGACACGGCCCAGUCGGCUACGAGAGGCGGCAGUAGGGAAUCCUGGGGGAAGGACGGAAGACUGACCGAGCAACGCCGGAUGAGUGAUGAAGGUACGCGGAUCGUAAGGCGCUGGUGUAAGAGAAGAAAGAGGGUGUGAGUUGAAAGGUCACGCUGGGGCGGUAACUUACCAGAGAAGGACGGCUAACUACGGG